CCUUCUAGAGACAAUUUCCAUUACCUCUACUAUGUUACGACUUUUCUCUUAUGAAAAGAGAGUGACGGGCAAUAUGUGCAUGUUUUAUUGCUAAUUCAAUUAAGCUUUUUAAUCUUAACCUACUUUUAAAUCCACCUUCCUCAAAAUCUUUCAACUUCAAAUCCGUCUAUUUCAAAAAAUAUUGUAACUCAUGUGACCCUUAAACAUUUACUGAACCUUGAUCUGUAAUUUUUAAUAAUCUUAUUUUUAACAAUCACUUCAAAGUUUUAUUUUUACGACGAUAUACAAACUAAAAGUUUAAGUAAGAUAAUUCGAGUAAAUUCGAGUUAAAACACAAGUUCCUCUAAUAAGAUUAAAACACCGCCAAAUUCUUUAAGUUUCAAGACUUCUGCUACUACCUAAUUUCUUUUUUCCUCUUAAUAAUAGGGUAUCUAAUCCUAGUUUAAGGGCGAAGUCUCCAAAAAUCAAUUUGAAAUCAAUAUAACUCUUAAAAUUUUACCCUCUAGAGUUAAAUUAAAUUUCAAUAAUUUGUUUUCAAAUUAAAACUAAAGUUUCUUCACUUUCACGGUAUAACCGCAGCCGCUGGCACCGUUUUUGCUAAAAUUUUUUCAAAAUAACUAGAGCUCUCCUUUAGACUUUCUAAAUUUACUAUCUAAUUUCUUCAGUUCCACUUUUCCCUUAUAAAUAAAUUUUUCUAUAAAAAACUAAAAGCCAGAAUUAAACCGACCCUCUUCCCGAAUUUCUCUUAAAAUUUUACCCCUC
rnacentral:rRNA from 1 species